GACAGAGGGUGCAACCGUUGUUCGGAAUUACUGGGCGUAAAGCGCGUGUAGGCAGCUUCGCAAGUCGGGUGUGAAAGCCCUGGGCUCAACCUAGGAAGUGCACUCGAAACUGCGGAGCUUGAGUCUCGGAGAGGAUCGCGGAAUUCUCGGUGUAGAGGUGAAAUUCGUAGAUAUCGAGAGGAACACCGGUGGCGAAGGCGGCGAGCUGGCCUGUACCUGACGCUGAGGCGCGACAGCGUGGGGAGCAAACAGG
rnacentral:rRNA from 1 species